GCCUGAGUGGCUCAGUUGGUUGAGCGUCCGACUUCGGCUCGGGUCACGAUCUCAUGGAUCGUGAGUUCGAGCCCCGCAUUGGGCU
rnacentral:tRNA from 1 species